GGUUACUGCUAUCGGUGUUCGCCUAAGCCAUGCGAGUCAUAUGUUCGUAAGAACAUGGCGUACUGCUCAGUAACACGUGGAUAACCUGCCCUUGGGUCCGGCAUAACCCCGGGAAACUGGGGAUAAUUCCGGAUAACGCACAUAUGCUGGAAUGCUUUAUGCGUAAAAUGGAUUCGUCUGCCCAAGGAUGGGUCUGCGGCCUAUCAGGUAGUAGUGGGUGUAAUGUACCUACUAGCCUACGACGGGUACGGGUUGUGAGAGCAAGAGCCCGGAGAUGGAUUCUGAGACAUGAAUCCAGGCCCUACGGGGCGCAGCAGGCGCGAAACUUUACAAUGCGGGAAACCGUGAUAAGGGGACACCGAGUGCCAGCAUCAUAUGCUGGCUGUCCGGGUGUGUAAAAUACACCUGUUAGCAAGGGCCGGGCAAGACCGGUGCCAGCCGCCGCGGUAACACCGGCGGCCCGAGUGGUGAUCGUGAUUAUUGGGUCUAAAGGGUCCGUAGCCGGUUUGGUCAGUCCUCCGGGAAAUCUGACGGCUUAACCGUUAGGCUUUCGGGGGAUACUGCCAGACUUGGAACCGGGAGAGGUAAGAGGUACUACAGGGGUAGGAGUGAAAUCUUGUAAUCCCUGUGGGACCACCUGUGGCGAAGGCGUCUUACCAGAACGGGUUCGACGGUGAGGGACGAAAGCUGGGGGCACGAACCGGAUUAGAUACCCGGGUAGUCCCAGCCGUAAACGAUGCUCGCUAGGUGUCAGGCAUGGCGCGACCGUGUCUGGUGCCGCAGGGAAGCCGUGAAGCGAGCCACCUGGGAAGUACGGCCGCAAGGCUGAAACUUAA
rnacentral:rRNA from 1 species